ACAUUCACCAAUGUUUUCUUGUUUGGGAUUUGUUCUCAGGAGAUCGAGGAUAUGCACUGGCCCCCUGGUUAAUAAUCCUACUAACUAACCCUCAGACUCGCCAGGAGGUUUCAUUCAAUCAGAAGCAUGCACGCACUUGCUCCACCGUCAAGCAUACAAUUGGAUUCUUAAAGGGACGCUGGAUGUGUUUGGACACAGCAGGUUACAAGAUGCUUUACAAACCGGAAAAGGUUUGUAGGAUAACCAUGGCCUGCUGUGUAUUGCACAACAUUGCAAUGAAGUGUGGGGUACAACUUCCCCCUCAGCCACAACAAUGAGGAUGUGCGUCCUGAGGUGCUCCUGAGACCAGACAACAGGUUCGCUGUCC